CAUAAAUAAAUCAUGCUUUUUCUGCCCUUGUCUGUCCUGGUUUUCUUGCCUCCUUGCUAGCCAUCACUCUAUCCCAAGGUCUGUGAAAACAAACCCGUAUAUCAAUUAUCUAUAACCCUCCCCUUACCUCUUCAUCUUUUAUUCUCUGCCUUUUUAUAGCAAACAAAUUUAGCCAUCAUUCAGACAUUUUGCCUCCCAGCAUUCAAAUAAAUCAGUGAUAAUUGGUUUCUCUUUCCUUUAAUUUGGAAUUGCAAUAGUUUAUUUGGUUUGUUUAGAGACAAAUAGAGGUGGCCCCCAUCAAGUGACAGAAAAAAGCAGGCCUUCACUGACCUUUCCUAUCACUCCCCAGGUUUGUUUGCAAGGACACAGACAUACAAGUGGGCACAUAUAAUAUGAGUUCCGACAUCAUAUAAAAGGAUAUUUAGCCAAGAAACACGGCAUGUUAGUUGUUGAAACCUUCUUUGCAUUCCCUGAAACAAAUGACAUUAUUGCAAGUAUUUUCCUUCCUAAGCAGUAAAUAAAAAGUCUUUUAUGUUGACAAUGAUAAUAUUAUAUUUUUAAAUCUAUUUGCAUUUUGGUAUUCUGUGGAUUUUAAUGCUUCCUAUAAAUCUCAUGGCUGAGACAUAUUAAGCUUCACUCAGUGAGAAACAGCCUAUUUUAUCACAGGCUUGGACAGCUACUGCAAUCUUGUGCUACAUUUUACCUGUGGGAUUUUUAAGCAGCCAUCAGUGGUAAACAAAUUCUCCAAGAGAAAUGAUUUCUUUUUCUGCUUUUGUAUGUGUGCAUUUUGGCAUGUGGAUAGGAAAGAACCCAAGAAGAUGUUCAUUUUGCCGCAUGAUCAGAAUGGAUUUCCAGGAAGGUCACUGUUCCUGCACAAGCCCUUCAGAUGUGUUUGAUAUGUCUCCAUUGUCACCAAGUCAUAACAAAGAAAGCUGACUUCAAUGCUUGACUCACAAGAUAAUGCUGAUUUCUCAAAAAGCAGUAAUGUCACCAUCUGAACAAACCUAUUAAAUCAAAAGGGUGGCUUGGAGUUGUACAUAAUAAGAUUCAAAAGAAGAUUCGAGUCAUAGAAUAGCCUGAUAGAGUGGGAGAUACCUGGAAGGCAGUGAGGUGGAUUGAGUGGGAACUGAUGGAGCUUCCGCGGGGACUUACAGGUUGGGAACUCUACCAUACUGAUCUAGAGAGUAAUAUUGCUCUCAAAAGUAGAAUUUACAAUAACCCAGGCUUUUAUAUACACUCUCAUGCUUUCCAUUAAGUCUGAUUCCUAUAACAGCCCUCGAACUGUCUAGGAUUCUCUGGUUGUAAGACAAGAAAUAUAAACUAACUGGAAUUCUCAUGAUCUUAAGUUCCACAUGACUAUACCUCCAAUCUUUGCUUUUGACCUCAAUGUCUGCUUUGUCCUCAGACACUCUGGGCCCUUGGAAGCUCUCUCAGAAGAAGCUGGUGGCUCUUCUGGAGAUUCAGCUGCCCAAUGGAACAUAUUUUUUUUCUGGGAAUUCAUGAUCGCACACUAUUACAACACAAUGAACACCUCCUUCUCCCCCCACCCCUCACUUUCAACAACCUCUCUGUCCUUUAGCAAAAGAGAACGUUUGAAUCUAUUUACACUAAAUACAGAUAGCCCAACUUGAUGGUUUUUGUAUUUUGGGAAGCAGAGAACACUAUACCACCAGCCAGUCCUAGCAGGAAACCUCCCCACUGAAGGUCACGAGGAGCUGACUUCUCGUAGGUUCUGCUCUUUUGACAAAGUUUAGCAAACACAUUAUCUUGGACAAAAUAUGUGAUGUAAUGUUUAUGAAAGAUCAUCAUGUCCCCUUUUGCAGGUCUGUGAGGGAUAUGAAUGUUACCAAAACACUGUGCUAGGACUGAAAUCCUCCACCCUUGACAUAACCCUAUCUUUUGUAGUGCCUCCUGAUGUGGUUUCUGGAAGUCAAGUAAGGGUGUGAACAGAUAAUCCAGAGGCCACCAAAUCCAGGAGGAAAAUAAAGCCAAUAUUUCACAUAUGA